rnacentral:misc_RNA from 1 species
GAUGAAGAACGUAGCGAAAUGCGAUAAGUAGUGUGAAUUGCAGAAUUCAGUGAAUCAUCGAAUCUUUGAACGCACAUUGCGCCCCUUGGUAUUCCAUGGGGCAUGCCUGUUCGAGCGUCAUUAGUACCUUCAAGCUCUGCUUGGUGUUGGGUGUUUGUCCUUGCUCUAGUGGCGGGACUCGCCUUAAAGUAAUUGGCAGCCAGUGUUUUGGUUUUGAAGCGCAGCACAAGUCGCGAUUCAAGUCUAUACGCUAGUUUCCACAAGUCUUUUAUCACUUUUGACCUCGGAUCAGGUAGGGAUACCCGCUGAACUUAAGCAUAUCAAUAAGCGGAGGA